rnacentral:rRNA from 1 species
CAGUAGCCACGGUAAUACGGAGGGGGCUAGCGUUGUUCGGAAUUACUGGGCGUAAAGCGCACGUAGGCGGCUUGGUAAGUUAGAGGUGAAAGCCUGGAGCUCAACUCCAGAAUUGCCUUUAAGACUGCCGAGCUAGCAGGUGAGAGAGGUAAGUGGAAUUCCGAGUGUAGAGGUGAAAUUCGUAGAUAUUCGGAAGAACACCAGUGGCGAAGGCGGCUUACUGGCUCAUACUGGACGCUGAGGUGCGAAAGCGUGGGGAGCAAACAGGAUUAGAUACCCGUGUAGUCCCUGUCUCUUAUAA